rnacentral:tRNA from 1 species
AGGCACUUAGUUUAAACAAAACAUUUGAUUUCGGCUCAAAAACUUAUGGUUUAACUCCAUAUUUGCCUA